CAUCAUUUGAAAUGUUACAAGUUCUUUAUUUUGGUAAUGUCUGUUUAAAGUGAUAAGGAAAUAACUGGUCCACUGCUGAAUCUCUUUUCUUUUCUCUCUUAGCCACCUGAUGAUGAGAGAGACAAUUUCAAUGUGGGCAUCUUGAUGAAGAAGAGUCCACAGUCACAAUAACAAGAUCAUUGAGCUGUCCCCUAAUUGUGGUGAGCUACAUGUUUAGUCUCUUAUGUGCUAAACAUUAUGUAGCCUAAGGAAGCAGCCCUGACUCUGGAGUUUAUAUGAAGGAGCAUGCUGAGUAACUAUCCAGAAUGUAGGUCCAUAGCAGAAAAAAAGUGCACCAAGCAGAAACAUACCAUCUAAACUCCUUCGAUUCCUGUCAGACCAGAAAGACUUUCAGAAUCCUUGGAAGAUUUAAAGUAUCAGUAUUGGAGCGGAAGAAGACCCAGUUGUAUCGUCUGUUUCCUGCCAUCUUGCAGUUAACCUGGUUUCUUAAUGUAAAGUACUUGUAAUUUGCCCACUUGUCCUCAAUUAUCUUAAAGCUAACAUUUAAAACUAAUUUGCUUUGAGAUUAUUUGCCAAGACUUCUCACUGUGUGAUUCACAUGUCAAUAUGUAUUAUUGUGUGUAUAACUAGCUAUUUGGAAUUCAAAUGAUUUGUAUUCAUUAAAGAAUCUGUUU